GAAAUCUGCUGGCGGUCAAGAGCAAGACCACCCAAGUCUGGGGAACUCUGAGUAGUCUGCUCUGCUCCCAGAACUUGUCAAAAAGCACGAAUUCUGCACAUGUCAGUGACCAAGCCUCAGUGGUUCUGGAAGUUCAUGGUCCGGCUUCCAGUAGGAGGUAGAAGACAAGAUUCAUGAAAGACCUGGGGGAUAGUUGGGACCAGCGAAUGGUUGCAGGAAGUGGAGCCUUCAGGUCAAUGGUGACUCCUGGCACAGCUAGGACCAGAACUCAGAUUUCCCAGCACCCAGACAUCCCCUUCCCACCCUCGCUUCUGCAAAGCCUGCAUUCGGUGGUUAGAGAAUAGUGAAGGGCAGACAGGAAUGCCUUCCUACUUCUUUCUAACAGAGAAGUUGAAGAAGAAAGAAGAAGAAAGAAGAAGAAGAAAGAAGAAGAAGAAGAAGAAGAAGAAGAAGAAGAGGAAGAAGGAAGAAGAAGAAGAAGAAGGAAGAAGAAGAAGAAGAAGGAAGAAGAAGAAGAAGAAGAAGAAGGAAGAAGAAGAAGAAGGAAGAAGAAGAAGAAGAAGGAAGAAGAAGAAGAAGAAGGAAGAAGAAGAAGGAAGAAGAAGAAGAAGGAAGAAGGAAGAAGAAGAAGAAGAAAGAAGGAAGAAGAAGAAGAAGAAGAAGAAGAAACAACCUACAUCUCAGUGCCCAGAGGAGUAAAAACAAUUA
rnacentral:lncRNA from 1 species